GAAAUCGCACGUUAUAUGCGAGUGUGCAACGUCGCGAGUGCUGUCUACUAAAUAAUUUUCGCUUUAUACGUUUUUAUUUUUAUAAAUAGCCGAUUUAGACAAUGAGAUUAGUAAUUUAACAACGUAAAGUGAUAAGAAUUGUGAUAUAUCCACGCAAUGGCCAUGAAAAUAUACAGUGUUUUCGUCAGUGUGAUCCUGUGCAAUAGAUCGUCACUUUGGUUGUUUGUCAAUGACGUCUGCGUUUAGCGCAACGAAAAGUGGAAUUAUAGUUUGAUUGUGACAAGUAGUGCAAACAUAAGUAAAUUAAAUUGUGAUAACAGAUGCGUGUUAAUAAAAUGGAUGAGUGUUUUCUUCAUUGGAACAUUCCUAAAUCAACUGGGGCCAUCAGAGGUGGCUCAUGAAGAAAGGACCGAAGACGGGCCACAGUAUCUUCGGUGCGACAAAGCCAGCGCUGCAGAGACCAACCCGCCUGCCCAACAUGGUGACUAUGGCAACACACAUGAGUUGCCAUUUUUGGCGUGAACUUGUGGAGGCUUAUGUCUAGCAGUGGACUACGAC
rnacentral:misc_RNA from 1 species